GCCGGGCGCAGUGGCGCGCGCUUGUAGUCCUAGCUACUCGGGAGGCUGAGGCAGGAGGAUCGCUUGAGUCCAGGAGUUCUGGGCUGCAGUGCGCUAUGACCAUCGGGUGUCCGCACUAAGUUCGGCAUCAAUAUGGUGACCUCCCGGGAGCGGGGGACCACCAGGUUGCCUAAGGAGGGGUGAACCGGCCCAAGUCAAAAACGGAGCAGGUCAACAUCCAAACUACAGCAUACAGUGAAUUGAAUUUUGACAAAACACACUAAAAACACAUGAUGCAAAAAUUAACGUCUCUU
rnacentral:SRP_RNA from 1 species